CAAAAAUCACUCGUGUGUGUUAAAUAUGUAGACAAAAAUUUAGGUACUACAAAAUCAAUCCAGUAUAAAUCUCUAAACAAGUUCGGUGACCCGCACCGCGAGCCGCAAGGCCGCAAACGAAGCAGCCCAGCACACUGAAGCCCAUGUCGCAGAAACACGCAACUACCCUCAUCAAAUCCCUGUGCGCGCGCGGCGCGGUCCGGCACGCGCGCGCCUUGUUCGACGAAAUGCCUGACCGGGACGUAGUGGCGUGGACGGCCAUGCUGUCCGGCUACGCAUCCAGCGGCCGCCACCGUGAGGCGCUAGACUUAUUCCGGUCCAUGGCCGCGGCCGGCGUCAUCCCCAAUGAGUUCACGCUGUCCAGCGUCCUGACUGCCUGCCGUGCCGCCGGCGGCGGCGGCGCAGCGUCGAUCCAUGCCCUCGCUUUGCGGCGGGGCGUGGACCACAUGCCGUAUGUCGUGAACGCGCUCAUCGAUGCAUACGCAUCCCGCGGAGGCGGGGACGGCCUCGUGGACGCGAGGUGUCUGUUUGAUGCGCUCGGGGAAGGACGCACGGCCGCGUCGUGGACGUCCAUGAUAGCCGGUUAUGCUCGUUGGGGACAGGAGAACACGGGGCUACAGUUGUUCCAAAAUAUGAUUCAGGAUGAUGUUGAGCUGAGUCCGUUCACCUGCUCUAUUGCAAUCCAUGCAUGUUCUUUAGUAGGUAACUUAUAUUUUGGACAGCAAAUUCAUGUACUCUCCAUAAGGAAAGCUCUUGGAGCGAACCUUGCUGUUGCAAAUUCUCUGGUUGACUUGUACUGCACUUGUGCAAGCAUACUGGAUGCAAGGAGGCUUUUUGAUGAAAUGCCUGAAAGAAACUUGGUCACCUGGAAUACCAUUAUUGUUGGACAUAGCCGGCGUGAUCCUCUAAUGGCCAUGCAACUUCUUGUCAACAUGGAUAUUGAACCAAAUUGCUUGACUCUAACUAGCAUCACCUCAGCAUGUGCUGGUCUUUCAGCUCUGAGAUGUGGCCAGCAGGUCCAUGGGGCUGUACUCCGGAGAAACUAUGGUUAUGACCUAAAAGUUUCCAAUGCCCUUGUGGACAUGUACUCCAAAUGUGGAAACAUUUUUAAUGCUAAGAAGGUAUUCAACAUGAUGACUUGCAAGGACAUAUUAUCAUGGACAUCAAUGAUUGGUGGGUAUGGGAUGAAUGGCUAUGUGAACGAGGCCAUCAAGCUGUUUAAUUCCAUGGUUCAUGCUGGGAUUCAUCCAGACCAUGUGGUGUUCUUGGGCCUGAUCAGUGCUUGCAGCCAUGCUGGUUUAGUAGAUGAAGGAUGGAACCUUUUCAGGUCAAUGUUAUUGGAGUAUAAUAUUCAGCCUAACAAGGAGAUUUAUGGUUGUGUCAUCAAUCUUCUUGGUCGUGCAGGGAGGCUGAGAGAAGCUUUUAUCCUCAUUGAUACAAUGCCACUCACUCCUGAUGAAUAUAUCUGGGGAGCAUUGCUUGGUGCUUGCAAGAUGCACAGGAAUCUAGAGCUGGGCAGACUAGCUGCAGGGAAAAUAAUUGAGAUUAACCCUGAUGCAGUGAAGACUUACAUCCUGCUUGCAAACAUAUGUGCUGCAGAUAGCAAAUGGGGUGAGUAUGCUGCCACAAGGGUGUUGUUGAGGGGCACAGGAAGCAGUAAGGAAGUAGGAAUGAGUUGGAUAGAGUUAUCAGAUAAGAUGUAUACCUUUAGCACAGCUGACAGUAGCAGUCCUCAAGUUAGUUUGGCAGAUGAGGUAUUGCAGAUCUUAGUCCAACACAUGGAUGAAGCUGGAAGUGAAUUUAUUGACAAUAUUUGUAGAGGUGCAUGAUUCCUUAAAUGGUUCGUCCAUUUUUAGUCAAAUGUUGUAAAAAUCGAUUCUGGAUGUUGAUGCUCUCUGAUAGCACUCAAUUUCUGGAGGUUUGAGUUCGGAUAAAACCUAUCCAGAACCAAACAAACUACUUAUGCAACAUAAAUAAAUUUUGACUGAGAUAUGCAGCGCUGGCCAUCUGGAAGGGACUAACUUAAGAUCCAAAGUCAACAGCAGAGCUGCUGAUGGAGUUCAAGUUGUCUGUUUGUAGGGAGAUUAUUUGGCUAUUGUACAUUUGAGAUGAAUUUAACUAUAGAAUUGUAGUCCAAUGAUGACAUCAAUGUCAUAUGUGGUGAUGAGUGGGUGGUAGACAUGAUAGCAAAAGGUUUGUAUUUUCCUAAACAGUUGAGAUUUUACUCAUAUUUGGUCGGUGCCCAGGCUACAGAUUUAGGGUCUUCCAUUCUGAACUCUGAAGUAACCAUAAGUAAAUUUUCAAGAGCUGUGUAUUUUUAUGUGUA